rnacentral:rRNA from 1 species
GUGCCAGCCGCCGCGGUAAUACCGGCAGCCCGAGUGAUGGCCGAUAUUAUUGGGCCUAAAGCGUCCGUAGCUGGCCGAACAAGUCCGUCGGGAAAUCCACGUGCUUAACGCGUGGGCGACCGGCGGAAACUGUCCGGCUUGGGGCCGGAGGACCCGAGGGGUACGUCCGGGGUAGGAGUGAAAUCCUGUAAUCCUGGACGGACCGCCGAUGGCGAAAGCACGUCGGGAAGACGGAUCCGACGGUGAGGGACGAAAGCCAGGGUCUCCAACCGGAUUAGAAACCCUUGUAGUCC